CUCGGGCCAGGCAGCGGAGUGGCGUCAGCCUCAUCGAUCAUCCCCCAUGAAGCAUCGGCGCUCGAUUCCGCCGCCUGCGCGGUCCCGCCAGGAGCGAAGGCCCCAGGGCGGCGGCGGCCGGACCAUCAUCAUGUAGCCCUUUGAAACUAAAGGUACAGAAACUUGAAAGCCAUGUGUUCCAGGCUGAGGGUGUUGGUAUGCAUUCUGCUCUUCAAAGGCUAAGAAAAACAUGGUGAGCUUGACUUCUGUGCCAGCUGCUCUGUGAAUAGCUGAUGCUGACAAAGCAGGAGGCAGAAGUCUUUCUUCAAACUGAGUGAAUGUAUAGAAAACAAUAAAUGAGUCACGAUGAGAAAAAACUGCUUUGAUGAAAAUGUGCCAAAAACAAUAGCUUGAGAGAGAAGUGUAAACUUUCCCUGAUAGUUCUUUGGGGUGUAGACAGUUAAGGGGUUUUUUUUGUGUUUGUAAGGGAAACAUGGCAUUCCUUAAAGCUGAACCUCCUCCCUUGGGUUCCUACUGAAUGCCUGAGAUGUGACAGCAGAGGGUGUCUCCAGAAAGCUAAUAUUAAACAUGAAGAAUUAGUAUGGAGGGAGCAACAGCAAGUGAGAUUCCAGUUUUGACCACAGAAUGAGCUAAAAAGUCUUUCAGCAGCAGCUGUACACAGUUUCUUACUCACACACAGCUGCACGGAACUCCUGUUCAAAGGGUUCUCGUGUGCCCUCACGUUGGGAAAUGCACCUGCCUGCUGCGUGAUGUGUGAAAGGUGGGCUGCUCCGAAAGGGUGAAUCGGCUUUGAGCAAACAAGGUGCUGAGGCAGCGUGAUACAGGGUGAAAUAAACUUGGAAGGGUAGCCUUGGUCCAGGCACACGUGCAACUAGUUUGCUGUCCACAGUGGUUGCAGGGGAGCUCGUGGGCUAAAGAUGUGGACAGGUGGAAGAGAUGCAGGCAGGAAACGGGGAAGAAAGGGGGGUAAAUAGCAUUUAUAAAGCCUUAAGGGGGCUCUGGUUAGUUCUGGGAAAGGGUUUUAGCCAAUCCCACCUCUAUUUUUAACUCUGCGACUAUGACUUUGGGAAAGUUAUCUGAACAAUUCAAGCCAGGUGCAAGUCUGCGGGGAAGGGACAAACCCAUGGGCGCUGGGUGAAGCCUGGGCACCCGGUUGGCUCAUGCGAUGUGGCAGCCACCACCGCACCCUUUCCCGUUUCCCCUGUGGCCGCAGGCAGCCCUGCCAGCUACUGCUGCCCCGAGUGAGGAGAAGGAUGGAAGAAUUGCCUUCCAAGAUGCCGAUAACCGCUAGCACCUGGCAUUACUUGGCAACAGAGAGAUGGCGAGCAGCUCUAGCAUUGUAUCUCCCACAUGCCAGGCCAAAUGCCCUCAAAUGGGACAUUCCGCUCUGGGAACUGCUCUUGAUAGUGUUGACUUUUAGCUGUGUCUCAGCCUCAUCUCCUGUAAAAGGUAAUAUUUGCUUAUGUAAAAAGGUAUCGGCGUACUUUGCAAGGGUGUUCCAAGUUAAAAAUUGUCAGUCAGGGCAAACAGAUCUUAGGGGUGAGCUACAGGAAAGCAAAGUGCACACGCUGCAUUAUUAUGAUUCUUCUCAGAACAAAGAGCGUGACCUGGUGCUGCUCUUGGCAGCUGAAUGCCCCGUUCAGCCAGUCUGAAAAAGCGCUGCAGUGUUUGAGUUCAGCUCUCCUUCAGAUAACACCUAUUCUGUUUCCUUUCUCUUGGUGAGAUGUUUAAGGCAUCUCGGUGAGACACUGAGUUGUGCAUUUGAGGAAUGCACCUCACAACUGUUAAGGUAAGCAUUUAGCAUGGCUCUGCUGGAGGCAGUGAGACCUGCUUCUUCCCAGGUGACUUAUAGUUGCAGAAAAGGGCUAAAUGAGAUACUUAGUCUGAAAUACCAACGGGAGGUAUUUUCAUAUGGAGUGGGAUCCUAUAUUUAAUGGUUCUUUGCAUGUGAAUCUCACUGCAGGAUCUAUAUCUUGGUCCUUCAUUUUGUAGCAGUGUCUAGUCAGGAGGAUAACCUGUAUGCAGCAGAUGUGUGACAUUCAUAGUGGGUUUGGGCGCUUUUUUCCACGAAAGCUACUCUUUACUGCUUCACCUGGGUGAGUGGGAGAUCAGGGUACUGGGGUGGUACUUUGUUGAGAGCAUAGAGGAAUGGGGAAGUAAUUUCUGUACUUAAAAAAAAAGAAUAAAUUGGAAAGAAUAGUAGAAGUGUCAUAACAGGUCCGUUCCAACAGCUGCAAGGUCCUGCUCCUCGCCCAGUGGUGUGUCUGUGCCCUGUGAUAUGGGUGUUUCAUAGAAUCAUUAAGGUUGGGAAAGACCUCCAAGAUCAUCAAGUCCAACCACCAACCCAACACUCCCAUGUCUCCUAAACCAUGCCCUGAAG